ACGAAAGUCUGACGGAGCGACGCCGCGUGGAUGAAGAAGGCCGACGGGGUUGUAAAGUUCUUUUGUUGUGGAAGAAUAACCAUGGGAGGGAAUGCCCGUGGGAUGACAUGAACCGACGAAUAAGCCCCGGCUAACUACGUGCCAGCAGCCGCGGUAACACGUAGGGGGCGAGCGUUGUUCGGAAUUACUGGGCGUAAAGGGCAUGUAGGCGGUCUUGUAAGCUUGGCGUGAAAGACCACGGCUCAACCGUGGGAUUGCGUUGAGAACUGCGAGGCUUGAGUGACGGAGAGGGAGCUAGAAUUCCUGGUGUAGGGGUGGAAUCUGUAGAGAUCAGGAAGAAUACCAAUGGGGAAGGCAAGCUCCUGGCCGAUGACAGACGCUGAGGUGCGAAAGUGUGGGGAUCAAACAGGAUUAGAUACCCUGGUAGUCCACACUGUAAACGAUGUGCACUAGGUGCGUGGUACGGAUGUAUCAGUGCCGUAGCUAACGUGAUAAGUGCACCGCGCUGCUAGUAGGGCCAGCUGG
rnacentral:rRNA from 1 species